rnacentral:rRNA from 1 species
UACGGAGGGAGCUAGCGUUAUUCGGAAUUACUGGGCGUAAAGCGCACGUAGGCGGCUUUGUAAGUUAGAGGUGAAGGCCUGGAGCUCAACUCCAGAAUUGCCUUUAAGACUGCAUCGCUUGAAUCCAGGAGAGGUGAGUGGAAUUCCGAGUGUAGAGGUGAAAUUCGUAGAUAUUCGGAAGAACACCAGUGGCGAAGGCGGCUCACUGGACUGGUAUUGACGCUGAGGUGCGAAAGCGUGGGGAGCAACAGG